UACGUAGGGGGCAAGCGUUGUCCGGAAUUACUGGGCGUAAAGGGCGCGUAGGCGGCCAACUAAGUCAGACGUGAAAUCCCUCGGCUCAACCGGGGAACUGCGUCUGAUACUGGAUGGCUUGAAUUCGGGAGAGGGAUGCGGAAUUCCAGGUGUAGCGGUGAAAUGCGUAGAUAUCUGGAGGAACACCGGUGGCGAAGGCGGCAUCCUGGACCGAUACUGACGCUGAGGAGCGAAAGCGUGGGGAGCGAACAGG
rnacentral:rRNA from 1 species